CCUACGGGUGGCAGCAGUCGAGAAUUAUUCACAAUGGGGGAAACCCUGAUGGUGCGACGCCGCGUGGGGGAAUGAAGGUCUUCGGAUUGUAAACCCCUGUCAUGUGGGAGCAAAUUAAAAAGAUAGUACCACAAGAGGCAGAGACGGCCAAAUCUGUGCCCGCAGCCGCGGUAAUACAGAGUUCUAAAGCGUUGUUGGGAAUCACUGGGCGUAAAGCGUGCGUGGGCUGUUUCGUAAUACGUGUGUGAAAGGGGCGGGCUAAACCCGCGGACGGCACAUGAUACUGCGAGACUAGAGUAAUGGAGGGGGAACCGGAAUUCUCGGUGUAGCAGUGAAAUGCGUAGAUA
rnacentral:rRNA from 1 species